AAGCAAGGCUGAUUUGUCAGCCCUAAUUCCUUUGCUAACUUGCAACCCUAAUCUUUGUCCAAUUGGCUUUUGACAUUUUUUUCUAGCAGCCAAUACAAUCUUGACACACCUAGGUUUUAAUUUCAUUUUAGGUUUUGCUGUGUUGCUUUUCAUCUAGGGUUUGGAGGACAUUCAAAUAGCCAUCUUACAUGUGGCUCUAGGUUUGCUUAUCUCUAGGUUUCAAUCUUCACAUUCAUUCUAGGUUUAGGUUUAUAUGAAUCUUACACAUCUUACACAUGGCUUAAUAUAAUUCUUUGCAUGUCUCAUGGCUGAUUUUGAGAUUGCUGGUUUAAAGAAACAAUUGGCACAAGUAGUUUAUGGAAACAAUUGUGGUUUUAUUAUUUCUUUCCCAGUGUUUUUUCAUUUGUCAAGUUUUUCUCUCUCUCUCUCCCCCCCCUCUCUCGUACGCUCUCACUCUUUCUCCUCACACUUUCAUCUCUCUUUCUCCUCCCCAUCUCAUCCUUCACCAUAACAUCCACACCACAACCUCCACCACCAUCUACAAAUGAAUCACUCGUAAGAGUGAGGGAGUGGCCGAGUGAGAGAAGCCGGCGGGAGAGAAGUUCUGGCGAGGAGGAGGAGUUCCGGCCGAGAGAGUUCUUGUGGCCGUUUGUGGUGACACGGCGGUGCUUGGCAACGGCGGCAUGAAGCUUCUUGCUCCUUCUUUCUCCUGGCUCCAUAGAAGGAUAAGGCUCCUCCAUAGAAAAAUCACUAUGACCACAAUUUCAGAAAGAGAUGAAUGAUGGUUGGGUUGGUUUGGAAAAGGCACCUGAUGGAUCUUUCAAGAAGAAGAUUCUGGAUUAGUAAUUUUCAAGUUUUUUGUUUCUGUUCUUUUGGGAAAUUUUUGUUCUUGAUUCUUAAAUGUAGUUUUGGGUUUUUGCAGAUUAGGGGUAUGGCUUUUGUCUAGGGUUAAGCCAUCAGAGAUUUUUUUGAAAUCUAUAUCAAAGGAAGUUACUGGUGUUGAAGUCAUUUACCCAUCAAGGGUAAGGGAAUGGGUAUUUUCCGUAAGAGAAGGAACAAUUGUGAAACAGUACCAAGUAGAUAAGUAAGGUAUUGGAUGCCACCCUUGAAGAUUUGGAGUAAGUGCCCCCCUGCCAUUUUAAUUUGUAUUGUCCUUAAGCUUAUACUUAAAUACUUUCUCUUCUGAAUAGGUUUUCUAAUAAACACUGAAAGGAGAAGGAACUUUCAUAUAGGUCUAUCCAAAUCUCAACUUGAUCUAUGUUGUUCAUGUUUCCUUACUUCUUUUUCGUCCUUGCUCUACUUUUGCAAAUUGUGUCAAUAUUUCAGAUAUUACAUGCCUUUCCUAAUACAUUUGUUCAUCUUUUUAUUUUGAUUAUUACUUUUAUUAUAUCAUUGUAUAGGACUGUAGUCUGAGCAUGUAGGUCUAUCAUUUGUUCACCUUGCUAAAUUUGGUUGUAUCCAUAGUUAAUGCUCCUACAUUGAUGAAUGGCUUCUGAUGACUACAUAGUGAGGGACAUACUAUGUGAACAGAUACGGGUCAAACAAUUGAACAUAAUACUGUGUUUCUCUAUAUAAAUACUAAUAGAGCAGUCAUAAGUCAGAUGUUAUUCAUUUUGUACAUGUUAUUUCCUCUCUUUUUUCUCUGUCAAUUCUCUUAUUUAUGAGGCAGCUAUAAAAUUUAUCAUUAUUCUAUUUUUUUUUUAUUUUUAGAGUUGUGGUCAUGAGUUGAAGAAGCAAGAUCUCAUUUCAUCUAUUCUUUCUACAAAUGCCGGAUUAUGGUAUCAAAAUUUUAGUUGUGUUUUUAGUUUUACAAUUUAAGGAGUCAAUUAAUGUUUUAUUUGACACUUGGUUCUUGCUGCUGUAUGCAGGACACAUCUAUCAACUAUGAUUUUGGAUAGAACUGGUUUAUGUAUCAAGAUUUCUUCAAAAGCUGAAUGUAAGGUCUUGGAUGCCACCCUUGAAGAUUUGGAGUUUUGAUAUGUGAUUUCUUGAAUCCAUCAUGGGACAAGAGUGAGUAACAUGAAAUUUGAUUUGAGGGUAGUUUUGAUUCAGUUUCAAUUAUUGCUUUUGACAGUGUCGCUUCUACCGUCAAGUCUGCAGUUGAUAUUCAAACACCGGGUGAUCUUAUAACUCUUACUGCUGCAGCUGCAACAGAUUUGCACUAGGUGUGCUUCCAGGAUCAAUUUUAUUGCAGGACAACUCUAUUGUGACAAGUGCAAAAUGCCACGAACUACGGUACCUAGGCUUGCACCAAAUGUGCAUCCAAAAUUAAUUUCAUUGGAGGCCAGUUUUACUGUGAAAAAUGCAGGAUGCCAAGAACUGCUAUACCUAGGUUUUUAGGAAGAACUGCACAAGACUUGCUUGAUGCAGCAUUUGCAGAUAAAGGAUGGAUUUUGAUCUAGCUUGAAGGUUUUGAUCAUCUGUUAUAAGAGGAGAUAGCAAAAAAGUGCAAAUUUUGAGGUAACGAGAAAUACAAACGAGAGUUUAAAGAUGGUAAAGGUAAAUUUAAAAUUGAAUCAUAUUCGAUUACACCUCUGAUAUGUCUAUUUUGUUCUUAUAAAGUAAAAAUUUGAGUAUGAAUUCUUUUUGGGAGUUGCAACCCUAAGUAGAGAACAUUUCUUAGUUUUAUUCUAUCAUUUUGUUAUGUGCUUAGAGCCUCUAAGCACAUACUGCUUUUAUUAUUAAAUAAAAUCCUUUCCAAGAACCAUAUCCUAGACCUGUCCAUUCCAAGAACCUGUCUAUUCUAUACCACACCAGAUUUGAAUUCAACCUUCAAAAAAUAGAAAUAGAAUUCAACCUUAAAAGGUCAUAAUUAAUAGUAUUAUAGUAAUAAUAAGUGAUUCAACUUUAUUACUAGAUCACACUAUUAUCAAAGAAUACUGGCCAGAUUUGGUUUUCUCUAAACAUUGGGCUGCCUCACACCUGUACCCUCUUUUUGGUCAUGCUCAUGUAACAAUUUACUUAGGAGUACAGUAAUAAAAUUUUAGAUAUACUGAACCAUAAAAUUUUAGAUAUACUGAAGCUAUAGACCAAUUCAUUCAUGCUUAGGUCAGGUCCAGCAUAACAAAUGAGUCCAAAGCUGAUCCAAAGAUGAAUCCAAUACCAUGAAAUACAGUGGAUAAAGUGUUUUAGGAAGUUAUUGAUUCUUUUGAUUUCUUCUCUUUUAUAUUUUGGUAUUCUUUAAACACUAUCAAUUAUCUUUUAUGUGAUUUCAUCAUCAUCCCUUGAGGAAGUUUUCUUUCCCAAAAACAAAGAUGAAAAAACGAUCAAAAGCAGGUAAGAAAACUCAUUUUGUUUUUCUUGGUAAACAUGAUUACAGAAUGUCUGCUGUAUAUAUUUAUCUGAAAUUCUGAAUUUUGAUGAAAUCAUAUAAUAUAGUCAAUUACUUGAAGAGUCAGUGACUGAAUUUUCCUUACUUAUUUCUCGAUUUCUUUCGGCAUACCUGGCAACGGGAAUGAAUGAACAUGUAGUACACACAACAACGGCAGCAGAAUCUGCUUCACCAAUUGGAGCUAUAGGUGGUGCUGCUGAGUAAAGGAAAUAGACUAUAGGCGCUUUCGUAUGCUUUGAGUCUGUAUUAGGUGGUAGUUUAAUUAGUGUAAAUGAGAAUGUUAGCAAGUGAAGCUAUGGCUUUGAAGAGAUAUUAGUAGUUUAUUUAGAAGGAGCUUUAUCUUUGCAUAAGGAUUGACUAUUAACAGUAUUUUAUGGCCUACUCUUGACUUGUGUUAGUGUACUUUGGUCACUAGGAUGUACUUUUUAAUGUAUUGGUGUCUUUGUUUGAAAUAUUUGGUACUCUCUUAAUGAAAUGUAUCCAAUCUUCGGCUAA